rnacentral:rRNA from 1 species
UACGGGGGGAGCAAGCGUUGUUCGGAUUUACUGGGCGUAAAGGGCGCGUAGGCGGCCACCGCAAGUCGACUGUGAAAUCUCCGGGCUUAACCCGGAAAGGUCAGCCGAUACUGCGGGGCUAGAGUGCAGAAGGGGCAACUGGAAUUCUCGGUGUAGCGGUGAAAUGCGUAGAUAUCGAGAGGAACACCUGCGGCGAAGGCGGGUUGCUGGGCUGGCACUGACGCUGAUGUGCGAAAGCUAGGGGAGCGAACGGG